CACGAAGUUAGCCGGUGCUUAUUCUUUGGGUACCGUCAUCCCAACCGGGUAUUAGCCAGCUGGAUUUCUUUCCCAACAAAAGGGCUUUACAACCCGAAGGCCUUCUUCACCCACGCGGUAUGGCUGGAUCAGGCUUGCGCCCAUUGUCCAAUAUUCCCCACUGCUGCCUCCCGUAGGAGUCUGGACCGUGUCUCAGUUCCAGUGUGGCUGAUCAUCCUCUCAGACCAGCUACGGAUCGUCGCCUUGGUGGGCCUUUACCCCGCCAACUAGCUAAUCCGACAUCGGCUCAUUCAAUCGCGCAAGGCCCGAAGGUCCCCUGCUUUCACCCGUAGGUCGUAUGCGGUAUUAGCGUAAGUUUCCCUACGUUAUCCCCCACGACAGAGUAGAUUCCGAUGUAUUCCUCACCCGUCCGCCACUCGCCACCCAGAGAGCAAGCUCUCCUGUGCUGCCGUUCGACUUGCAUGUGUUAGGCCUACCGCCAGCGUUCACUCUGAGCCAGGAUCAAACUCU
rnacentral:rRNA from 1 species